CGCUUUUGGGCCGGCUCGGAGCGAGUAAGCCCCGCGCCCACGCACACGCUCAGACUCCUGGGAGUUGUAGUAUCAAUUCAAGUUUGGACUAGAACCAUGGCGGUGACCAAAGAGCUCUUACAAAUGGAUCUGUACGCGCUGCUCGGCAUUGAGGAGAAGGCGGCAGACAAAGAGGUGAAGAAGGCGUACAGGCAAAAAGCACUAUCCUGCCACCCAGACAAAAAUCCAGAUAACCCCAGAGCAGCUGAACUCUUCCACCAGCUGUCCCAGGCCUUGGAAGUGCUGACGGAUGCUGCAGCCAGGGCUGCAUAUGACAAGGUUAGGAAAGCCAAGAAGCAGGCAGCAGAGAGGACCCAGAGACUUGACGAGAACAGGAAGAAAGUGAAACUUGAUCUGGAGGCCAGGGAGCGGCAGGCCCAGGCCCAUGGGAGUGAGGAAGAGGAGGAGAGCAGGAGCGCCACCACACUAGAGCAGGAGAUUGCUCGACUUCGAGAAGAGGGUUCCCGUCAGUUGGAAGAGCAGCAGAGGCUGAUCCAGGAGCAGAUCCGCCAGGACCGAGAACAGAGGCUGAGAGGAAGAACAGAAAAUACUGAAGGCAAAGGAACCCCCAAACUAAAGGGAGCAUGGUCUGGCCGGUCUAAAUUGCCAGAGUCUGGAGAGCAGCAGGGCGUCUGCUUAGAAUGGCAGGCUCGAUUGUGCGUCUGGUGUGGCUGAUGCUGAUGUUGUCUUUGUAGCUAAAGUGGAAGUGCAAGAAGGAGGAUGAGUCCCAAGGUGGCUACUCCAGAGAUGUCCUCCUGAGGCUUUUACAGAAGUAUGGGGAGGUUCUCAACCUGGUACUUUCCAGAAAGAAGGCAGGCAAUGCCAUAGUGGAGUUUGCAACUGUCAGAGCUGCGGAGCUGGCUGUCAGAAAUGAAGUGGGCCUGGCUGACAACCCUCUGAAGGUUUCCUGGUUGGAGGGACAGCCCCAGAGCACAGUGGACCCCGGCCCCCCAGGACUGUCAAAGGGCUCAGUGCUGUCAGAAAGGGACUUUGAGAGUCUCGUCAUGAUGCGCAUGCGCCAGGCAGCUGAGCGCCAGCAGCUGAUUGCCCAGAUGCAGCAGGAAGAUGAGGGGCGGCCCACGUAGCCCCGGCUCCAGCCUUCCCACCCCACACCCUUUCUGAAUCAUCACCAAUAAACUUUUUUAAAAACA